AUAUCAGUCAUGCAUAGCAUAUCAAUAAGCGGAGGAAAAGAAACCUAACAAGGAUUCCCUUAGUAACGGCGAGUGAAGCGGGAAGAGCUCAAAUUUGAAAUCUUCAAGGUUUUACCUUGACGAAUUGUAGUUUAAAGAAGUGUUUUCUGUUGAAGUUUUAGUAAAAGUUCUUCGGAAUAGGACAUCAUAGAGGGUGAGAAUCCCGUAUUUGACCAUUACUUUCAGCUUUGUGAUACACUUUCAAGAGUCGGAUUGUUUGGGAAUGCAGUCCAAAAUGGGUGGUAAAUUUCAUCUAAAGCUAAAUAUUGGCGAGAGACCGAUAGCGAACAAGUACCGUGAGGGAAAGAUGAAAAGAACUUUGAAAAGAGAGUUAAACAGUACGUGAAAUUGUCAAAAGGGAAGCGUUUGACACCAGUGUUGUUUUCUCGAAAAUCAAUUAAAAAGAGUUGGAUUUUGUGUUGUAUUGACUUUAUCAGCUUUCUUCACUCUUUUCCAGCUUUUUUUAAUGCACUUUUCGUUUAACAAGUCAACAUCAGUUUCUUUUGUUGUAAAAAGGUCAUUGGAAGGUGGCUUUCUCUUCGGAGAAAGUGUUUAUAGCCUUUGACUCAUGCAAUCGGAGAGACUGAGGUCUGCAGCGUAGAUCCUUCGGGGUUAGAUACAUUUGUGCUAAGUUAUAGCUUUUCAUAGACAACUUGUUGACUAUGUUUAGUCUUGUAGCUUACUCGCUUAUGCUAUUUUACCUACGCUUAGGAUGUUGAACUCUAUCACACACAG
rnacentral:rRNA from 1 species